rnacentral:sRNA from 1 species
GCCUAUUGUGGUGGCCCACACCUGUAAUCCCAGCACCUUGGGAGGCUGAGGCAGGAGGAUUGCAAGUUUGAGGCCAGCCUCAGCAACUUGGCAAAACCCUGUCUCAA